rnacentral:rRNA from 1 species
GCGCGAAAACUUUGCAAUGCGGGAAACCGUGAUAAGGGAACUCCGAGUGCCCGUAAAAUCGGGCUGUCCAUCUGUGUAAAUAACAGGUGAAGAAAGGGCCGGGCAAGACCGGUGCCAGCCGCCGCGGUAAUACCGGCGGCUCGAGUGGUGGCCACUAUUACUGGGCUUAAAGCGUUCGUAGCUGGUCUGUUAAGUCUCUGGGGAAAUCUACUGGCUUAACCAAUAGGCGUCUCAGGGAUACUGGCAGACUAGGGACCGGGAGAGGUGAGAGGUACUCCAGGGGUAGGAGUGAAAUCCUGUAAUCCUUGGGGGACCACCUGUGGCGAAGGCGUCUCACCAGAACGGCUCCGACAGUGAGGGACGAAAGCUGGGGGAGCAAACCGGAUUAGAUACCCGGGUAGUCCCAGCUGUAAACGAUGCGCGUUAGGUGUAUCGAUGACCACGAGUCAUCGAGGUGCCGAAGAGAAAUCGUGAAACGUGCCGCCUGGGAAGUACGGUCGCAAAGGCUAGAAACUUAAAGGAAUUGGGCGGGGGA